AUUGAACGCUGGCGGCAGGCCUAACACAUGCAAGUCGAACGAGUGGCGGGCGGGUGAGAAAAGUCUGGGAGACUGUCCGAGGGAGGGGGGAAACUACUGGAAACGGUUGAGAAUACCGCAUAACAUCGGCGAUGCGCCGAGGGGAGUAGCUUGUAGGUGGGGUAAAGGCUCACCUAGGCGACGAGCCCUAGCUGGUCUGAGAGGAGGACCAGCCACACUGGAACUGAGACACGGUCCAGACGCCUACGGGAGGCAGCAGUGGGGAAUAUUGGACAAGGGGCGAAAGCCGGAUGCAGCCAUGCCGCGUGUAUGAAGAAGGCCUUCGGUUUGUAAAGUACUUUCAGCGGGGAGGCGUUACCCGCAGAAGAAGCACCGGCUAACUCCGUGCCAGCAGCCGCGGUAAUAC
rnacentral:rRNA from 1 species